rnacentral:pre_miRNA from 1 species
UCUUAUGGCCGAGCGAAGACAGUGGCUUCUUGAAAUGGAAUCUACGACUGGUGAAGAUACUGUGGA